rnacentral:rRNA from 1 species
CUGCUGCCUUCCGUAGGAGUUUGGGCCGUGUCUCAGUCCCAAUGUGGCCGUCCACCCUCUCAGGCCGGCUACUGAUCGCUGCCUUGGUGGGCCGUUACCCCGCCAACUAGCUGAUCAGACGCGGAUCCAUCGUAUACCACCGGAGUUUUUCACACUGCCCCAUGCGGAGCCGUGCGCUUAUGCGGUAUUAGCACCUAUUUCUAAGUGUUAUCCCCCGGUAUACGGCAGGUUAUCCACGCGUUACUCACCCGUCCG